GAUGAAGAACGCAGUGAAAUGCGAUAAGUAAUGUGAAUUGCAGAAUUCAGUGAAUCAUCGAAUCUUUGAACGCACAUUGCGCCCGCCAGUAUUCUGGCGGGCAUGCCUGUUCGAGCGUCAUUUCAACCAUCAAGCCCCAGGCUUGUGUUGGGGACCUGCGGCUGCCGCAGGCCCUGAAAACCAGUGGCGGGCUCGCUGUCACACCGGGCGUAGUAGAUUUUAUCUCGCUCAGGGCGUGCUGCGGGUUCCGGCCGUUAAAAAGCCUUUUUUACCCAAGGUUGACCUCGGAUCAGGUAGGAAGACCCGCUGAACUUAAGCAUAUCAAUAAGCGAGGA
rnacentral:misc_RNA from 1 species